CGGCGGACGGGUGAGUAACGCGUGGGUAACCUACCUCAUACAGGGGGAUAACAGUUGGAAACGGCUGCUAAUACCGCAUAAGCGCACAGUACCGCAUGGUACCGUGUGAAAAACUCCGGUGGUAUGAGAUGGACCCGCGUCUGAUUAGCUAGUUGGUGGGGUAACGGCCUACCAAGGCGACGAUCAGUAGCCGCCUGAGAGGGUGACGGCCACAUUGGGACUGAGACACGGCCCAA
rnacentral:rRNA from 1 species